ACACGUGGUAUCCUGUCUGAAUAUGGGGGGACCAUCCUCCAAGGCUAAAUACUCCUGACUGACCGAUAGUGAACCAGUACCGUGAGGGAAAGGCGAAAAGAACCCCGGCGAGGGGAGUGAAAAAGAACCUGAAACCGUGUACGUACAAGCAGUGGGAGCACGCUUAGGCGUGUGACUGCGUACCUUUUGUAUAAUGGGUCAGCGACUUAUAUUCUGUAGCAAGGUUAACCGAAUAGGGGAGCCGAAGGGAAACCGAGUCUUAACUGGGCGUUAAGUUGCAGGGUAUAGACCCGAAACCCGGUGAUCUAGCCAUGGGCAGGUUGAAGGUUGGGUAACACUAACUGGAGGACCGAACCGACUAAUGUUGAAAAAUUAGCGGAUGACUUGUGGCUGGGGGUGAAAGGCCAAUCAAACCGGGAGAUAGCUGGUUCUCCCCGAAAGCUAUUUAGGUAGCGCCUCGUGAAUUCAUCUCCGGGGGUAGAGCACUGUUUCGGCAAGGGGGUCAUCCCGACUUACCAACCCGAUGCAAACUGCGAAUACCGGAGAAUGUUAUCACGGGAGACACACGGCGGGUGCUAACGUCCGUCGUGAAGAGGGAAACAACCCAGACCGCCAGCUAAGGUCCCAAAGUCAUGGUUAAGUGGGAAACGAUGUGGGAAGGCCCAGACAGCCAGGAUGUUGGCUUAGAAGCAGCCAUCAUUUAAAGAAAGCGUAAUAGCUCACUGGUCGAGUCGGCCUGCGCGGAAGAUGUAACGGGGCUAAACCAUGCACCGAAGCUGCGGCAGCGACGCUGAUGCGUUGUUGGGUAGGGGAGCGUUC
rnacentral:rRNA from 1 species